rnacentral:tRNA from 1 species
GUGGCACAAAUGGUUAAGUGCAAUCGGCUGCUAACCGAAAGGUUGGAGGUUCAAGUCCACCC